rnacentral:tRNA from 1 species
CAAAAAGUAGCUUACACUAAAGCAUUCGACCUACACUCGAAAGACAUUACCACUAAUCUUUUUGA